rnacentral:lncRNA from 1 species
AGAGUCUCCCGAGACCUCUGUCCAUCCAUGCAGCUACCCUCCAAUCAGGGCGGACGUUUCCCAAAGGCCCUUUGCUGGAUAGAAGUAUUUUAGGCCUCACAGAGGACUUUAGAUGCAACUCUGCAAAGAGCUGAGCUGCUGGCUGGGGACCCGAACACUGAUUAGAAAGAGAGAGAAAGAGAGAGAUGCUUGGCCACUUCCCACAGCUGCCGGCUGACAGGGACCACGACCCUUCCCACAGCCUCCCCGAGGCCCUGACCGGCUGCAGCUGCUCAGAGCACAGUCAGCCUUUGUGGAUACCGGAGAAGGAGUGAGUCCAAGGGGCAGGGAAUUAGACCCAGUGUGUCAGCCGGAUGUGCACGGGGGGCCUCACUGGGGGAUCCCCGAGUCUCCUUUCUCUGCCCAGCCUGCACGUCUGCAUCACAGGAAACACCUUCGUAAAGGGAGCAACCAUUUGAGGACAGCAGGGGUUUCCCCAGUGGAAGGGCUGCCGCUAAUCUAGCUUCUACCCCGUGGGACCUCCUGCACCUAUUCCAUUCUUGCAUCCACUCCUCGCCUGUCAACCCCUUUCCCAGAUAAAGAAGCCCAUGCCUUUGAAGCCAAGCCCCUUCACUGACAGAUGCACAUGUGACCUCAGUGGAGCUGACAGCUGGAGCUGGCAGCUGGAUCUGCACCUGGACUGGAGUUCCCAGAACGGUGGGGCUGGAGAGAAGAACCUAGGAGCUUCUCAGAAGUUACUUAAACGGAUCCUCCUCCACUUUUGGUUUUCACCACUAAAUGGGACACCAAUGGGGCAAAACAACUGCCAUGAAGUAAGCCCGGUAAAGCCCCUCAUGCCUGCCACUGAAUCUUUCUAAGCAUAACAAAUGACUCUUUUCCUUUGAACGUGUACAAAUGCCCUCUAGAAGCACCCAGAACUGGGUUCUGAUGCCCAGUAAGUGAGCAAGAGAACAGGAAUACUGAGCAGGAACUAGAAAGAAGCAAGGUCAUGGAGAGAAAGGACAAGAGCAGAUGUCACCCGAUGCUGGGACCUCCAUGCACACACACACUCUGACAGUGCAACGGACUCAGCUGGGAGAACGGAUAGUCCUUCAGGGCCCUUGAAGGGAGAGGAAGCACAGUGACUUGCACUUCCUGGAAAUUUGCAAAUGUGCCUGGAAUUAUGGAAAUGUACCUAGUCUUUCUUGAGGAAGUAGCUCCCCUGACCUUGUAAGAAAGCCUGACGGUGCCAUCCAUGGUUGGAUCCUGAGGCUCCACCAACCCACAGUGAUGGCCGCCAGGCAUCCUUCCAGAUCUCCUGCCCCUCGCACAUGACAAGAGGAGAAAGAGAUGGCUCUCACUACCAGGGACUAAUUUCUUAUAGAUAAUGACUUUUUAGAAAAGAAACAGCUCAGCCUUCUCACUCUUAUACAAUGGCUUCUGAAUUCUUGGGGGAGUAACUAGGUUUAUUCCUGCUUCAAAGACAGGAAGCCGGGGGCAGAAAUGGAAGAGGACAAGAACGAAAGGGAACAUUCCCUGACUGCCCACUAUAUACUAAGCAUGCUUGGUGAAGCAAGAUGUACUCCCUGGAGGAUAUUUCACAGCAAACCUUCCAGGUGGGUGUCAGGUAUUAAGAAUGGAGAUGCAGAGAGGUUGAAUAGCUUAUUCAAGUAACGUAAAAAUAAUGGAGGGGAAGACCCCUGAACCCUGGCGUCUUCAAAAACACCUGGGUCCAUUCUACUGCUGUCCGCAUGGUUCUAGCAAGCUGACACAUUGGCCUUGACUGCUUGGCAAGGCCUGUUAGGAGAGCUGUGACUGAGGACUUUCUGGUCUCUAGAGAAAUUUCUGGUGACCCAUCACAACCAUUCUUGGUGCACAAUUCAGUAGUUGCUAGACAGUCCUGGAUGCUUGACUCGGUGACCUCCCCCAUCUCUGCGGGAUCACUUACGGUGUCAGAGUGUUGGGGCGGCCAUGUCCUUAUCACAUCCCGUCAACCAGCCAGCCCUGCUCUGAUCCUAAUGCCUCAUCUUGACCUGACAAUAUCUAGAUUGCAAGUCUUAGAAGAUUUAAAUAACCUAAUUAGCUUUGCUAUUUGUUUUCAGGUUAGGGAGUUUCCAUUUUUAGCAAAGUAGGAGGUGAUUAUUUAAAUUGGUCAACUCUGAAAUCCAAGGCAAAUAGAGAGGAAAUAAAUUCACUAUCACUGACAAGGCCAAGAAAACUGUGAAGAACACUGCACUCUAAUAAAGACCAGGGAUCGAUUCUCAUCUACAUAAAGUGGAAAAGUAUAUUUACUCUUGGUUCUGAACCAAUGCAAAGCAUUUUCUGUCAUAUUUAUGAAUUUUUUUUUCCAGUGCAUCUCAUUGUAAGAUGAGUUUUUAUUUUAUUUUAAAAAUGCGGGGCGCCUGGGUGGCUCAGUGGGUUAAACUGCUGCCUUCGGCUCAGGUCAUGAUCUCAGGGUCCUGGGAUUGAGUCCCGCGUCGGGCUCUCUGCUCAGCAGGGAGCCUGCUUCCUUCUCUCUCUCUCUCUCUCUCUCUGCCUGCCUCUCAGUGUACUUGUGAUUUCUCUCUGUCAAAUAAAUAAAUAAAAUCUUUAAAAAAAAAAAUGCAUUUGUGUCAGUUACUGUUGUAGGGGACUUACAAGUAUUAUCUGAAUUGUCCUCUUACUAACACACUAAGGUAGGGACUUCUGCUAUUUAUGUCUUAUAGAUAAGGAAACCCAGGCCGAGAACCACCCAAGUUCACCAGCAAUCAGAUGGCAUUGCCAGGAUCCUAGCUCAAGCUCCACUCUGCAACAUCUAAAAUGGAGAAGAAAGAAGACAGUAAUAAAAAAAAGAAAUCCUUACUUGUAAAAUCAAUUUCAAAGAACCGUUCUCUGAUGUCCCCCCAAGCGCAUUCCAGUAUCCUGUUUUCUUCCCUCUGCAGCACGUGCUCCUUAAACAUGUAACUGCCCACACGGCUAAAAGUCACCGAGUCCUCCUCUGUGGUUCUAAAUAAUAUCCUGUAGCCUAUUAAUAAACAGAUCCA